rnacentral:lncRNA from 1 species
AUGAGGAUCCAACGUCCCAGAUGCGCCCGCACCCCCUUCUCUCUCUCGCGCUCGCAGCUCGCCGCAAUCAUCGCGCGUGUCGCUCCUCAUCCCCUCCCGCACCCCCCCUCUCUCUCUCUUUCGAUCGCCGCAAUCGCCGCGCCUCCUCCGCAGAAAUCGCCGCGCCUCCCCGUCACGUCGCCGCGCCUCCCCUCCGCGCCGAUCCGGUCUCCGCCCUCCGCCAUCGGCAUCAACGUCAUCUACCGGUCGGAGCCGCGCGCAAUCACCGCGCCUCCUCCGCAUCGCCGCGAGUGCGCGUCAGGCGCCUGCCCGCCGCAUCGCCGUGCCUCCUCCGCAUCCCUCCCCUCCGCGCAUCCUCCACCCGGAUCCCUCGCCUCCGCCUGCGAGGAGGAACGCUUCGCCGGGCGCCUCUCCUCGCCUUUUGCAGAGUAUUUUAAAGACAAAUGGUGUAGCUCGCCAGGGACUGCAUUUGCGUCACUCGUCCGCGCCGCCAUAACUCCAUCGACAAGCCUCGCCGAUCUGCGACGCCGACGAGCCGUGGGCUCCUGCAUCGACGCACUGCCACCGCCUCCACCUCGAGCGUCAACGCCGCCAAGAGGUACAAAAACCCUGCUCCACCACCCCUCCAGCUUCUACCUGAUCCCCAUCCCUGACCAUAAAUGUGAUGUAAAAUCCCCUCGACAAGCUGCUUCAGCGACCGGUAUCCUCGGUCUCCGCCUCAACCGCCGCCGCCGCCACCACCGGAUCCCUGCAUCGUCGAUUCUACUGCACACCUGCGAGCAUAGCAGUGGAUGUGAGGGUGUCGUGGUCCUGCUACAACCCUAACAAGUGAAACUAGCCGUUGGAGUGCUUCUUUAAGUAGACAAGG